CCUCUCGUGGUGUAGGGGUAACGCAACCUAUCUAGUGAACUGGAAGUCGUGAGUUCGAUUCUCAUCGAGAAGA
rnacentral:tRNA from 1 species